UCCUAAGAAACAUUCAUUUCCUUUCACGGUUAAAGUGUCGAAACGAUGAAACCAAAGGCAGAUGCGUUCAGGGAGAGGCAAUAAAUUCGAUCCUUCUAGCUAAAAUCGGCGUACUAUCGACGAUAAACACUGUAGAUGGUUUGUCAUCAUCGGCAAACGUUCAGAGCAACUUUACGUGCGAAUUUGACUUGCGUGGAAAGGGGAGUGAGAGUAGGGGAAGUUGAGGAGGGAAGCGUCGCGUCGGUCGUGGAAAUGAGUAGUGGGGGCGGUUGGGGAAUCCCUCGCUACGCGCAUGCGCGACCGUAUUGGUGGGGUUACUCAACCGACGGCGCCAGUAUUCUCGUCCCCCUCUAUGCCCCGUCGGGCUCGAGCUGGUCGGUAGUGUUGCCUUGGAAGGGAGGGCACGGAUCACACGCGCGCACUGCCCUGUUCCUCUCUCUUGGUGUGUUUGUUUGUUUAUAGUCGCGUUCUGGGAAAUACCCGAUGCGAGUAAUAUAACGGACUCUUGUGCGCGCGGAGGCUUGCAUUCCCAUUCUGGCGUUGCAUCCGGUCGGUUCGCCGCAACUAUCCCGACGAAUGCCUUCCACAGUAUUCUUCUUUGCCCUGUCACUUAGCAUUCCCUCUUCCCUGGCCACUUAAAUGCGUGUCCUUUUAAAGACUCCUUUUACGUUUAUUCAUCCCGCCUUGAAUGCGAAAGAAUGACAUACGCGUUUCUCGUUAACACGACGAUUCUAUGUAUAACGUUUAACGCUCGUUGGAGUCCAAUCUCGAAUGAUCAUUCUGACAGCUUUGUACAUUCCUCUCGUACGUAAACAUGAGCAUUCCUGAUAUAAUACACCUGCGUGUCACGAAUUUUGGGGAAGGAAGCUGUUAUUUUUAUUGAUACCUAUCGAUCAAUACUAAUUUCAAGAAUCGGCUAGCGAUAACGCGAUCACGGCUUGCCCGAUAUGAUCGAACACGCAACGGGCUGAUAAAAAAGAAUCUUUUAUCGCCACGCGUUCUUUGAAAAAGUAGUCCAGUCAUAAUCUGAAGAAUGCAGUACACCAGCCGCACGGUACUCUUUCAUUGUGUACGCACGAACGUACGCGUAUCUACAAAUCGCACGUCAAAUAUUGUACAAUGGAAUUGUGUAACGAUGUGCUGCGCGGCGCCGUGUCACGGCAAAUCGAGACGUAUCGCGCGAUAAAAUUAAUUAUCAAAUUGACAACGACUGUUUUAGGGGAAACGAAAACAUUAUCGGAACGAAGCGUUGCAAAAAAAUAUUCGACAAAUUUUAUUUCCGUGACUUGAUCAAAAUGAACAGUUGGACUGACAUACAGUCAUGCAACAAUGUUUUUAGAAUUUUCUUUGAUCUUUAUCGAUACCCGAUGGAUAGCGUUGCUGCGUUUUUUUUUUUCUCUGCUUAUCGAACAAGUUUUAUAACUUUGCAAAUCGUUGACGCGGUUUUAAGUUUCUUUUUACUAUCUCUCGUUCGGAACCGAAACGUUGACGAAUGAUUAGGCGUAUCGUUGACGACGGUCAUUCGUUUCACAAAUCUCGGUUCAUUUGUUAGUGCUUCGAAAACUACGGUAUCCGUCGUCGUUUGCACGCAAAUGCGUGGUCUGCCAACGUUUGACAACACUUACGGCCGCGCUCGGCUGAGACCGAUUAAUAAUUCGUGACUGGUCCAUUUAACAAUAUUGUUGUUCAACGGUUCAACCGUUAAUAUCUUGUUUACACGUUCGCAUACGAGGCAACGGCGUUCUUGUAAACCAGAGAGAUUGAAUGUGACGGAAUGACAAAGUCCAGCAUACCGAGAAUGGUUUCGCAGUUGUUGACUCUUCCGCGAAUCAGGGGCAUUAUCGUUUCUUUAAAUGAAUAAUUACCAGUUGUUAUAUCGCCGCGGUACAAGCUUUGCCCGUCUAAUCAUCUAUGACUAAAGAAUAUUUUGAUCGACUGACCGGUCUACAAAAUAUUUACACCCUCCGCAACCUUAAAGGGGUAUUUAAUCAUAGGAGUUGGUAAUCACGAAAAGAUUCCACCGGUCGAUAGCUCGACGGCGUAAGGAUCCGCACAGACGAGACAGGUAAAGAAAAAAAGAAGAGCGCAAUGUGCAUUGGUCGAGGUGGAUCGUCUUCGGUAAAAGAAAAAAGAAGAAGGAAUAAAUAAAUAAAGGAAAGAGGGAAAACCUUUUAUCCCGAUGGGAGGUUUCCAUUGAAUAUGUCAUGCAGUCAUCGAACUUAGGAACGUUAUUAUCGUGAUCGUUUGCUCCAGUGCCUCGUCGCAGUGUAAACACCAUCCGUCGCCGACCAACUGGCGGCACAGAAGGCAAAAUACAUAGCCGGAGAGACACGAGAAGCCUCGUGACGCGUUGCCGCGCUACAUAAUUAGCGCGCGAAAAUAGAUUUUUGCGAAACGAGCCGAGCUCCGCUCUGGUAUGUCAAUGAAAACAAAUCCUUGUUCCCUUUUUUUCCCCUCUACUGCUCCCUUUCUCUUUGUCGAGGCCUGGUAGCUCAGGCGAAGGCCGCCGAAUACUGAAAUAUACACGCCGUUCAGAAUAGUCGAAUCAUUGUUUGCACGAUCGAGAGAGGAGUCACCGAUGCUGUCGUUUCUCGCUCGAUCCUCGCCUCCGAAAUAACGUAGUUACGGUUAAAUACGAGUAAAAUAACGUCAUCGUUGAUUCCCGAUCCCAAGAUGACGCUAUAGUGGCGUCAACAGCUGUUGAUCCUUCAACGGUGGAGCCUGGAUCAAUCGCGAUCCAAACUUACAAAACAUGUACAAAGAAGUGCGGAAGAAUCAUUUUCAGAGAAACAGUGUAAAAUUUAGAAAAUAAAAAUGAAAUUACAAUUGGGGCUCUCUUCAUGGUCCGUCGUCCGAGGGUUAAUGAUUGCCAAACCCCAUGGCGCAUCUGUUGCGUCACAAAAAA